rnacentral:rRNA from 1 species
AGCGAACGCUGGCGGCAGGCCUAACACAUGCAAGUCGAACGAACUCUUCGGAGUUAGUGGCGGACGGGUGAGUAGCACGUGGGAACGUGCCUUUUGGUUCGGAAUAACUCAGGGAAACUUGUGCUAAUACCGAAUGUGCCCUUCGGGGGAAAGAUUUAUCGCCAUUAGAGCGGCCCGCGUCUGAUUAGCUAGUUGGUGAGGUAACGGCUCACCAAGGCGACGAUCAGUAGCUGGUCUGAGAGGAUGACCAGCCACACUGGGACUGAGACCCGGCCCAGACUCCGACGGGAGGCAGCAGUGGGGAAUCUUGCGCAAUGGGCGAAAGCCUGACGCAGCCAUGCCGCGUGAAUGAUGAAGGUCUUAGGAUUGUAAAAUUCUUUCACCGGGGACGAUAAUGACGGUACCCGGAGAAGAAGCCCCGGCUAACUUCGUG